rnacentral:rRNA from 1 species
GAUCUGGCUCAGGAUGAACGCUAGCUACAGGCUUAACACAUGCAAGUCGAGGGGCAGCAUGAACUUAGCUUGCUAAGUUUGAUGGCGACCGGCGCACGGGUGAGUAACACGUAUCCAACCUUCCGUUUACUCAGGGAUAGCCUUUCGAAAGAAAGAUUAAUACCUGAUAGUAUGGUGAGAUUGCAUGAUAACACCAUUAAAGAUUUAUUGGUAAACGAUGGGGAUGCGUUCCAUUAGG